rnacentral:rRNA from 1 species
GACAGAGGGUGCAAACGUUGUUCGGAAUUACUGGGCGUAAAGCGAGUGUAGGCGGUCUUGUAAGUCGGAUGUGAAAGCCCCGGGCUCAACCCGGGAAGUGCACUCGAUACUGCGAGGCUAAAGUAUCGGAGAGGUUGGUGGAAUUCUCGGUGUAGAGGUGAAAUUCGUAGAUAUCGAGAGGAACACCGGUGGCGAAGGCGGCCAACUGGACGAAUACUGACGCUGAGACUCGAAAGCGUGGGGAGCGAACAGG